CCGUUUAACCUGUUUAUUAAUUGGAUCAGAUACGGAUUUUAGAUGUCCGACCCGUUUAACCCGUUUAACUGUUGGGCUGAUAGAUAAGGGCCACAACCCACAAAGCCCAGGGUCGGCCCAACUUUUUGCCUCAGCCCGAUUUCACCGCAUCGGCCCAAUUACUCUCCGCCUCCGCCCAACUUCAGCGCAAGGUAAGGUCCAAAUCCAACGUCCUGACGGUUCGUCCGCGACUUCUCACUUCUCCAGGUCUCCUUAGGGGGUGUUAGGGUUUGCCGUUUGUGCACCGCCCGAGCCCUAUUCCUAUUUCUCUCCCUCUCUCGAGUCUCUUCCCUCUCCUCUCCUCCGGAUUCUUCGCCUCCCGAGCCCUCUCCUCCGGACGGACCGGACCUUCGCCUCCCGAGCCCUCUCCUCCGGACGGACUGGACCUUCGCCUCCCGAGCCCUCUCCUCCGAACGGACCGGACCUUCGCCUCCCGAGCCCUCUCCUCCGGACGGACCGGACAUCCCCCUUGCUGACAACUUCCGCCUCCCCGUCGACGGCGACCGCGGCGACUCGACGGGUCCUGGGAACCAAGGUUGAAGUUGAACGGAAGAGCUCAUAAAGAGGACCUGGUCUUUGGAUUUUGUUUGGCUCCCGCCGCCUUCCCUCUCAUCUACGCGAGGUCAGAUCCUCUGCUCUAUCGAGGUGCUACCUCAUUGUUGGUUCCAUCAUGUCUUUUGGCUAGACAUUGCUUCUUCAGUUCAUGGAGUCAACUUGCUGUCUUCCUCUGCACAAUAUUUUGGUAUUUCAUAUAUUCCAGAAACUUCUGGACACCAUUGUUUUGAGCUCUCUUAUUGCCAACAUGAUAUUGAUCUCGAACCAUCAAUUAUAUUACUCUGUGCUUGUAGUAUGCUUGUGUUUUCUGGAAUAACUUGCAAUAGUUCAGUUAUGAGAGAAUCAAGUAUUCCUGAAUCAAUGCUCUUUUAUUAUUUAAGUAUCAUGCUUAAUUUAUACUUCCAAACUUGAAUCAUGCCUUAUAUCUUGUUAAUAUUGCCUCUUGCUCGCAUGUGCAAUUAACAGACCAUGUGUAGAAGAUGUUGUGGAAAAUCAAGGAAUAAGCAUCUUUCUUUUAGCUAAUCAUUUUCUUUCGAAAUUGGUAUUCUGAUAUAAUUUUAAAUUAUAUGAUAUAGAUGGAUAAACAGUUCGUGAAUAUAGAGUUAGAGUGUGAUGGUGAUAGGGCAAAUGAAUCGACGCCCUUAGGUUCUAACUUAGUUGUACGCGACUCCACACAUGGAAAACGUAAAAGAAAGUUGGCUUCCCCUAUUUAUCAAUAUUUUCAUAUAAAUGAAGCAACUGAAAAAUGCAAGUGUAUAAAGUGUGGUGGCAAAUAUUCAUUUGGUGGUAAGGUUGGGACCGGAAAUCUGAAACGUCAUUUAGAGAAUUGCAAAAAGAAUCGUGACAUAGGACAGAUGAUCUUAUCACAAGCUCAAGGGUCCAUAUCAAUGUGUUCUACUAGGUUUAAUCCUGAUAAAUUUCGUGAAUUGCUAACACUUGCAAUUAUUAAGCAUGAUCUACCAUUUCAAUCUGUUGAGUAUGAAGGCAUUAGAUCUUUAUUUGCUUAUGUUCGUGAGGAGGCCAAGUUAGUAUCAAGGAAUACUGUAAAGCCUGCUUUGUUGAAAUUAUAUAAAAAAGAGAAGGAAAAAUUAGUAUUGUGGCUUCAUUCAAUUACUUCUAGGAUAAGUUUGACUUUGGAUUUGUGGACCUCCAUUACUACCGAUGGGUCUUUAUGUUUAACUGCCCAUUUUAUUGAUGAUGAAUUGGUGUUACAAAAGAAAGUUCUUAACUUUCGCUUCAUGCCUCCUCCACAUAAUGGCAUAUCUUUAUGUGAAAUAAUUUAUAGUUUGUUGAUUGAUUAGGGGAUUGAAAAGAAAUUGUAUUGUAUGACUUUGGAUAAUGCAUCGGUAAACAUCAUUGACAUGCUAAAGAUCCAACUUAAUUGAAUAAUGCACUUUACUCAGAUGGUGAGUUCUUUCAUAUCCGAUGUUGUGCUCAUAUUCUUAACUUAAUUGUACAAGAGGGAUUAAAGGAGAUAGAUGAAUCCAUCUUUAAAGUUCGUGAAAGUAUUAAAUAUGUGAGAGGUUCACAAGUUCGGAAACAAAAAAAUUUUUGGAAUGUGUUAGACAAGUUUCUUUGGAAAGUAAAAAAGGCUUAAGGCAAGAUGUUUUUACAAGAUGGAAUUCAACUUUUUUGAUGCUAGAUAGUGCUCUCUUUUACCGUCGUGCCUUUCUCCAUUUGAAAUUAAGUGACUCUAAUUACAAGCAUUGUCCAUCUGAAGAGGAGUGGGGUAAAGUUGAGAAGAUUAGCAAGUUCCUACAAUGAAACUCAAUCAACUCAAUGCUCGGCCAAUGUUGAAUCCAGUUUAUAGUGAGAUGAAUCAUGAUCAUGGAUACUCCUUUUUGGUUUUGGUUUAAAUAUGGAUGUUGUUAUAGUUUGGGACUUUUUUUAGUUUUGCUUUGACUGUGGAUGGUGUCAUUGGACUUAAUGUGUUAUGUGUGGUUUCUUUUGAUAUUUAUAGCUAUUUGGUAGUUUCUUUUGAUACUUCAUGCUAUUUUUCCCCUGAAAAAAAAACUUCCAUGAUCUAGGCGUGCCAUAUGCUAUUAUUCUGAGUUAAAAGAAAAUGCUUGAUGUAUGCAAUGCUGUUUUUAUUUUUAUUCAAUAAUAGUCUAACUCUUCUUGGUGUAAGUUUUCGUUUGUUGUGGGUCCUUCAUCAUUGAUACAAUAACUAACUGGUUUGGGACCCAAAAUUUUCUAACUUGGACCAAACCAGAAGUGAAGAGAUUGUAAGUUUUUAGACAUUGCAGUGUGGUGGAGUUAGUACCUUUCAUUAAGUUAUUUAAAGGAAAUCAUUUUAAGGUAGCUCUGGCCCAUGUGAAUUUUGAUUCAUGUAUUUUGCUUCAGUUAUUUUAAGGGAGAAGAAGCGCAAUUUUACUGAAACCAUUGAGCUACAAAUUGGUCUGAAAAACUAUGACCCCCAAAAAGAUAAGCAUUUCAGUGGAUCUUAUGUUUACCUAAUAUGAUUUUUAAUGGCAAACAUCAAAACAAAUAACUUGUCUAAUGCAUUUGUAUUCAAAUCCUGGUUGUUCUUCUAUUGGCUAUGGAGAGGCAGAGGAACUUGGACCUUUCUUAAUGCAAAAAGGUGUGCCAGAACUCAAAUUCAACAAGCAUUCUUGGAACAGUGGCAAGGCGAAACAAGAUCAGAAAAAUGAUCUGCAUCUGCAUAUUAUUAUACUGGAGUAUCACAAUGCAUGCUUGGGUAUUCUCAAUGGCACAGAAAACGAGCUGCACAGCAAGAUAAAUUUAAUUGG